rnacentral:rRNA from 1 species
CCUACGGGUGGCUGCAGUGAGGAAUAUUGCACAAUGGGCGCAAGCCUGAUGCAGCCAUGCCGCGUGUGUGAAGAAGGCCUUCGGGUUGUAAAGCACUUUCAGCGGGGAGGAAGGCGGUGAGGUUAAUAACCUCAUCGAUUGACGUUACCCGCAGAAGAAGCACCGGCUAACUCCGUGCCAGCAGCCGCGGUAAUACGGAGGGUGCAAGCGUUAAUCGGAAUUACUGGGCGUAAAGCGCACGCAGGCGGUCUGUCAAGUCGGAUGUGAAAUCCCCGGGCUCAACCUGGGAACUGCAUUCGAAACUGGCAGGCUAGAGUCUUGUAGAGGGGGGUAGAAUUCCAGGUGUAGCGGUGAAAUGCGUAGAGAUCUGGAGGAAUACCGGUGGCGAAGGCGGCCCCCUGGACAAAGACUGACGCUCAGGUGCGAAAGCGUGGGGAGCAAACAGGAUUAGAUACCCGUGUAGUC